AUGUGCUUUCCCCACAGGGCUGAUCAGCAGGACCUGCCUUCUGAGCUGCCACCUCCAGGAAACCCUGCAGGAGCUGUCCUUGGAGCCGUGGGAUCAGCUUGUGGACAAAACUGCUUUCAACAAAAAACAUGGAGCGUUUCCUCAGAAGUUGUCUACAUCCAUGUGUUCACCUUGCUGGUCCCUCUGAAAGUCAAGGCAGGCAGCUCCAGCCUCGCCAGGGACAGGUUGGGAGCCCUUGGGCACUCCUGGAUCACCUCUGAAGGGCAACUCCACGAGGGAAACAAGCAGACACAAAAGCUCUGCAAAACUCAAGCUGCAUUUGUCAACAACAAAGAGUGUACAGUUCUCAUCUAACAAUAAAACAUUUUAUUUGUUUCCA
rnacentral:lncRNA from 1 species